AUAAAAUUUUCCUUAUUAAUUAAUAUAAACAGUAAUAAAUAUUUAAUCAAUAGAAAUUAGGGUGUAUAUACAGACAGCAAAAUGAGCUAAGUACCCAAAUCCUUUUCAAGGCACUGUUAUAUUUUAAAUAAUACGAAACAACCCCUACAUACCUACACAGUUAUGGUAUCUUGUAAUAUCAGAUUUUAUGUCAGAACCAAGCAGAUAGCAACCCUUUACACACAAGAUAAUUACCAAUGUUAUGUCUUGUUUAAAACUUCUCGAGAAAACCAGAGGUCGUCAUUUACAAAGCUUUAAAACUCAUUUUUCUUCAACAAAAAUCAUUCUCUUUUCACAUUUUUUGAAGAAAAAUCACUCUUUUCACAUUCCUUAAAUAAAAAUCUCUCUUCAUUCAUCCGAAAAGCGUCCCAUUCUCGUAUUCGUAUAGAUCCAAAAAGUGUGAGUUGCCAAUAUGGGUGAUUUGCUUAUCACAGAGCGCAUGUUUGUAGCUGGUGAAGAACCUGCUGGAGAAACAGUUAAUGUACAUAUCACAAGCCCAAGAGGACUGAAUCCAUAAUCGACGCUAUAGAUCCAGAUGAGGUAGAGUUUCUACGAAGCACAACGUUUGGGAAGAUCAUAUCCAUGACCGAAAACCCUUCCUUCUCUGUCAGUUUUGGCCAAUACAUCAUCUAGGCUGAGGUGAAGUUCAUCUUAUAUGACCAAGCAAGUUUAAUGGCCUCAGAAACAGACUUUGGGUGGAAUGACGAGAGGAUGAACUUGUGGGUAACAUAGUUGUUAAUCUAUAUACUUUUUCAAAGUCGAUUACAAACAAAUAUGUGCAACUAUUGUCUAUAUUUGUUGCUAAUAGUUUCUU